rnacentral:lncRNA from 1 species
AUUUUUUUCCUAUACACAGUGGAUAUUAAGCAAAUGACAACCAUUUUACUUGCAUUAAGAGAGAAAGAAGAAGCAGUGUCCUACUUCAGCAGGAGGUACUUUUGUUCUGUGUAACUAAGGCAUUUCCAAUUUAGGGAAUAGCAGUAGGUCAAGGUCCAGGGAGGAGGUCAGUGAAAGACUAAUAAAAUGUAUUUUCUCUUUUUCUGUAUGUUUCUCUGACUAGAACAGAAACUGACCUCUACAGGAUGUUUGGGUGAAGGUCAUUUUCUAUUAUAUGGCCUAUAAAAUCAUUUCCAUUGGGAAAGAAUGGCAGAAAAGUCAUCAUCCUUUGAAGACAGUUUUAAUUAAAAGAGGGAGAAACCCAGAGAGUUGCUGAGUCUCACGAGAAUGGAUGUUUGUAAUUCAGAGCAAUGUUUUUCCUGCAAAGUACUUUUUUUCUCUUUUGAUCAAUAACUAG